CAUUCUGUUGUCUUAAUCCAUCAGUUUCUUGUAUCUUGGUUGAUCGCUCAGUAAGGACAGAGCUGCAUUGGGAACAACGUCAUAACUAUGUUAAGAACUCACUGAUAUUUAGUGAAAGCCUCCACCAACGCAUCCCACAUCUCAAGUUUCCGAUCAUCAAUGAUAGAAGCCAGAGACUCCCAGUAAGCGGCGUCAUUAGAAGAAUCUCGAUCACUCAUCGUGCAAUUAUUGUUUUUCAUAAUCGACUUCUGUCUCUCUCUGUGUGAUAAUGAAUGAAUAAAACUCACUUUAUCUCCGCGUGGCA